rnacentral:rRNA from 1 species
CAAAGAUGUAAUGCUAAGUGUUGGAGGGUUUCCGCCCUUUAGUCGCUAGCAUCAAACGCAUUAAGCACUCCGCCUGGGGAACACGGCCGCAAGGAUGAAUCUCAGGAGAAUUGACGGGGCCCCGCACAAGCGGUGGAAUGUGUGGUUUAAUUCUAAGCAACGCGAAAAAUUUUACCAGGUCUUGAUGUCUCCUGACAACCCUAGAUAUAGGGCGUUCCCCUUCGAGAGACAGGAUGACAGGGGGGGCAUGGUUGUCGUCAGCUCGUGUCGGGAAAUGUUGGUUUAAGUCCCGCAACGAGCGCAACCCUUGAUCUUAUUUGCCAGAAUUCAGUUGGGCACUCUAAGGUGACUGACGGUGACAAACCGGAGGAAGGUGGGGAUGACGUCAAAUCAUCAUGCCCCUUAUGACCUGGGCUACACACGUGGUACAAUGGAUGGGACAAAGGGCUGCGAGACCGCGAGGAUAAGCGAAUCCCAUAAAACCAUUCUCAGUUCGGAUUGCAGGCUGAACUCGCCUGCAUGAAGCCGGAAUCGCUAGUAAUCGCGGAGCAGCAUGCCGCGGGGAAUACGUUCCCGGGCCUUGCACACACCGCCCGACGCACCAGGAGAGUUUGUAACACCCGAAGUCGAUGGGGUAACCUUUUGGAGCCAGCCGCCUAAGGUGUGACAGAUGAUUGGUGUGAACUCGUAACACGGUAACCGCG